AGGUCAGUCCUGAGGAGGAUACCUGUCGGCGGUGGGGCCGGAGGCGCUGGCCCGCGCAUAUAAAUUGGGACCCUGCGUCUCGGAUAUUCGCAGUUUUGCAGAGACUCGCCUCUAAAAGCUAUCGGAUUACCUUUUUUCGAGCACAAUGCGCGCAGCUCUGAUCAUUUUCACCGUCUUGGUGGCCGUGUGCACCCUAUCAGAAGCCGGUUAUCUCGGAGGCUACGGCUAUGGCUACGGAUACGGCGGCUACCCUGGUGGCUACUACGCCCGACCCUACUACAGCGGCGGCUACUAUAGACCGUCCUAUGGAGGCUACUAUGGCGGCUACAGCCCGUACUUCACUCGCUACUAUGGAGGCUACUGGUAAAUCAUGACGAGGACGGCUUGACUGGAUUGGAACUCUCCAUAAAAACUUUCAAUUGAUCUUUUGUUUGAGGAUCCUCUCAAUAAAAACCAUUUUUAUACAGCACGAAAUCACCAAAGACACAUCAGAUUGAGCUCUUUCUUUUCGAUAAAAUUUUUGUAUGAAAAAAAUCAAAAAUAAAAUUUACAAAAAGCAAAUGAGGCAAUCUUAA